AUUGAACGCUGGCGGCAUGCUUUACACAUGCAAGUCGAACGGCAGCACGGGCUUCGGCCUGGUGGCGAGUGGCGAACGGGUGAGUAAUGCGUCGGAACGUGCCGAGUAAUGGGGGAUAACGCAUCGAAAGGUGUGCUAAUACCGCAUACGCUCUGAGGAGGAAAGCGGGGGACCUUCGGGCCUCGCGUUAUUCGAGCGGCCGACGUCUGAUUAGCUAGUUGGUGGGGUAAAGGCCUACCAAGGCGACGAUCAGUAGCGGGUCUGAGAGGAUGAUCCGCCACACUGGGACUGGGACACGGCCCAGACUCCUACGGGAGGCGGCAGUGGGGAUUAUUGGACAAUGGGGGGAACCCUGAUCUGGCCAUGCCGCGUGUGUGAAGAAGGCCUUAUGGUUGUAAAGCACUGUAAGCGAGGAGGAGGCUCUUUUGGUUAAUACCCAAGAUGAGUGGACGUUACUUGCAGAAUAAGCACCGGCUAACUCUGUGCCAGCCGCCGCCGUAAUAC
rnacentral:rRNA from 1 species